AUGACCUUGUGAAAGAUGCCUAUGUCCAGUGGACGAGCAACCAGAUGGCGAGUUUCACUCGGUUCAUGAUGACUGGAGUGCGAGAGGAACCACUCCCAGAGCCACCUCAUCCGGGGCCGACGCCAGUGUUCCCGUCCAAGGAGGAGUUCUAUAUCAUGUACAAGCGUCAGCGUCAGUUGACCCCGGGAUUGGGAGAAUCCGGGAACGACACUCCUUGUGGUACGCCGAUGCACCCCGGUCGCCAUUCUCCUGGUGCUUCUGCCGAACCUCGGC